UUUCUUCUGUGCAGCUCUGGAGUAAGGGAAGGACCACAGGAUGGGCUCCAACGUAGAACCCAUCUGCUAGGAGCACAUCCAAGAUGCCAAAUGAAUUAAGUCCCAUGACCUUCCUGAGUCCUGGAUUCCUCACUGGAGAAGGAGAAGACAGUGAUCCCAAGACCCAACCUGGUGAUGUGUUCGUGAAAAAGCUCCCGGGGCAUUAGUUUGUAUUAACGGAGGUGUCCAGUGCCCGGAGAAAACAGAGUUAUGCAGUCCCCGUAGCUGCUAGGUUAUAUCCGGAGUUUUGCAUGAGGGACAACGUAGCAGAGAAUAUCAGACAGUGAGGGCUGCUGUGAAAAGUAAGUGAAGCAAGAAUGUGGACAUGUUUCGUAAGCUGUAAAAUAGUCUACAAAUAUUGAAAGACACCAUCACCACAUGAUUAUGUGUUAUAUGGCGUUAGAAUUCAUGUAUUACCUCAUGAAUUCCCCUAGAUAAUUGGCUUCCUGAAGUAUUUCCAGGUAGCAUAUGCUGAUUUCUCAAAACGAAUAGAAACUGGAGACAUACUCUUGCCACAGAGUUCUGUUAAUAGAUUUUAAUUAGUGGUUUCAAAAAACCCCAAAAAACUGGAAGACAUGAGUAUCAAAACUAGCAUGAGACGUCUGGACACCCAUUCACCUCACUCAUGACCGUCAGUGUUUUCUGUUCUCUGAGUAAACACACAGACUUUGGCUGUUUUACGUCAGUGUUUAGACUCUGCCCGUUGCUUGGGACUCCGUGAGCAUGGAGUGCAUUCUGGGGUGAUCAUCAUGCCCUUUCUGCAGUGUUGCAAGAGGCCUGCAUUUCUCCACUCCUCUGCCAGGGCUCUACUUCUGUUUUUCUCAGACAGUGAUCUCUUCACUGCCUGCCCUUGAGGAACUCCCCAGCUGGGCAGAAGCUGCCUCCUACACGGCCUACUUUUCCAUUUGAGGCCCACACUCCUAGGAGCCUUUUUAUGAGGGAACAAGGAUUGACGAACUGAACUUCUUUGCAAAAUCCGGUGUGAUGUCUGAUGUGAUAGGACAUCCUUUGUAUUGGAAUUCACAGGGCGUAAAAGGACUUUGGAGAUCAACUAGCCACGAAUUCAUGCCACAAAUUCUCAUUGAUUACCUGCUCUGUGCCAGCCUCUGUGAAGGGAGCUGGAACUCAGCAGCCCGCAACAGCAGUAAAACAGAGACAGACGUGUUCCCGGUGCUUGUGGAGCCCACGAUCUUGUGGGGUCAUUUCAUUUUCCAGACAGGAUGACCGAGGCCCAGGAAGAAAAGGUGGUCCGCACAACCCACAUAAGGUAAUGGCAGACCCGUGCAGGAUGAAGGCCUCGUCACAGCUGGGUCAGGCUCUUCCCUGGCUCCCUGCUGGUACCUUCCCAGUCCACGCCUAUCUCUACCAUCAUCCUGGUUAUCCAUCUCAUUUAUUGCCUGGCUCUCCCACCAUGGCGUAUGGGCUCCAAGAGGAGGCGUGUUUGUCUGUUUGGUUCACUCUUAAACCCAAAUGCCUGGACCAGUGCCCAUUAUGUAGUCGGUGUGCAAUAAAUAUUUGUUGAGUGUAGUCCAGAGAACCUUCGGCUCCUUCAGUGGACUGCCUCCAAACUUCUCCAAAUUCUUUAAAAAAAUUUUUUUGAGCUUUGUAUUUGCAAAUACUUGAAACUUUCAGCAAAGUUGCAAUAAUAUGACCAAAACCAAGAUUGCCUGUAUAGCCUUUAUCCAGACCCUAUUACUUUUUCAUUUUACCCCAUUGCUGUAUCAUCUGCUCUUUUCAUUCUUCAGAAUAGGUUUUCAUUUGAGAGUAAGUUGUAUAUAUUGUAGACAUUAAUUCCUGAGGAUGGAAAGUUUAUACCCCUCCCCCCCACUAUAUCAACUCAUUUGUUGAAGCUCUAACCUUCAAUGUGAUUGUAUUUGGGAUGGGGUCUUUCAGAGAUAAAUAUAUUUCGAUGAGGUCUUGAGUGUGGGUCCCCGUGAUAUAUCUGCCAUGUGAGGAAGGUAGCUGUCUACAAGCCAGGAUGGGCAGCUCUACCAGGAUCCAAAUCUGCCGGCGCCUUGACCUUGGACUUCCCAGCCUCUAGAACCAUGAGAAGUAAAUGCCUGUCGCUUAAGCCGUCCAGUCUAUGGUAUUGUGUCAUAGCAGCCUGAGCUAAGAUUUGUUGGUACUGAGAAGUGGGGUGCAGCUAUAAGAAAAUCCUAACAAUGUGUAGUGGCUUUAGAACUGGGCAAUUGACAGAAGCUGGAGGAGAUUUGGAGGGCAUGCUAGAACUAAAGAUGCUAAGGGCCAUUCUGGUGAGGACUCGAAAAGAGGAGAGCCAGGGUGCCUGGGUGGCUCAGUUGGUUGAGCAUCUGAUUUUGGCUCAGGUUGUGAUCUCAUGGUUCCUGAGUUUGAGACUCACAUCAGGCUCACUGCCGUCAGUGAAGAGCUUGCUUCGGAUCCUCUGUCUCCUUCACUCUCUGCCCCUCCCCUGCUUGUGCACAUGUGCUCUCUCUCUCUCUCUCUCUCUCAAAAAUAAACAUUAAAAGUUAAAAAAAGAUGGGAGCUGGAGAGAUAGCUUCUAUCUUUCUAGAGAAUAUGGAAAUAAUCGUGAACAGAAUGCUGGCAGGUAUAUGGAUGAUAAAGGCCAUUCUGGUGAGAUCUCAGGUGGAAAUGAGGAACAUGUUAUUGAACAGUGGAGAAAAAGUGAUCCUUAUUAUAAAGUGGCAGAGAUUUUGACUGAGUACUAAUGUUUUGUGGAAGGUAGAACUUUUGAGCAAAGAAAUUGGAUAUUUAUCUAAGGUAAUUUCUAAGCAAAAUGUUGAAGGAGUAGCUUGGUUUCUCCUGACUGCUUUCAGUGAGAUAGGAGUAGAGAAAAAUGAAUUUAAAAAGGAAUUGUUUAGCAAAAAGGAAACAGAGCUUAAAGAUUUGGAAAAUUCUUGGCUUAUCUAUACGGCAAAAAAAUGAGAAAGCUUGUUCUGAAGAGGAAACUAAGGGGUGACCCAAGACCAUAUGAUAAAGAGGUCAGCAAGGGUGUGAACCACAGACCUAAUCAGCCACCUCAGCAGAAACACCGCCAGCUUGAGCUGAAGGAAACGGAUACAGGACGAAGUGGAGGAAGGCUCCUGGGCUUCUUAGAUACUACAGGACCAGACCACAGAGCUCUUUGGCUGCAAACUGUCAUUGUGCCUCGCAGCAGGAAAAGCAUGAUCCCAAACGUGAUUCAGAAAUCAUCAGGGCUGCGUCCUUGGUUUCAAAGGUGGGAGGGGGGCAUUGCUGUGGUUUUAUUAGGCCAGAUGGCAGCUACUCAGAGCCUUGGGGGUAUGACUGCUGACUGGCCCCAGUGGGUCCAUGAGGCAUGACAUUGAACCAAAGUGGAUUUUUUAAAAUGCUUAUUUAAUUAUUUUUGAGAGAGAGAGCAGGGAGGGGCAGAGAGAGAGGGGGAGACAGAAUACCAAGCAGGCUCUGCACUGUGAGCACAGAGCCCAAUGCAGGACUCAAACCCAUGAACUGUGAGAUCAUGACCUGAGCUGAAACCAAGAUUCGGACACUUAACCCACUGAACCACCCAGGCCCAGCCCCAAAGAAGAUUCUUCUCAAACCUCUGCAUCUAGUGGGAUUUACUUUGCUAGGUUUUGGCCUUCCUUGGGACCUGUUACCUCUUUCUUCCUUCCUUCGGAUUUCCCCCUUUGGGAAUGGGAAUGUCCAUCCUAUGCCGUCCCACCAUUGUAUUUUGGAAGGACAUGACUUUUCUGGUUUCAUGGGUUCACAGCUGGAAGAGUUUUGCUUCAGGAUGAACUACCUCACCCUUAUGUGAUUUAGAUAUUUACAUGAGACGUAGGACUUUAGACUUUAGAGUUGAUGUUGGCGUGAGUUGAGGCAUCCGGGAUGUUGGGUGGAAUUAAUGUAUUUUGCAUGUUGGAAGGAUGUGAUUUUGGAGGAUCCAGGGACAGAAUGUUAUGAACUGAAUGUGUCUCUCCUGAAUUCAUAUGUCAAAGCCCUGACUUCCAGUGCAAUGGUGUUUGGCAGUGGGGCUUUUGGGAGAUGACUGAUGUAGAUGAAGUCUUGAGGGUAGGGGCUCUAUGAUGGGAUUAGUGUCCUGAUAAGAACAAAGAGAGGGAAGGAGAGAGAGAGAGAGAGACCAGAGCUCACUUUCAUUCCACCAGGUGAGGACACGGAGAAAAGCAGCCAUUUGCCAGCCACAAUGUGGGUUCUCACUGCGAAACCAAAUGUGCUGGUACCUCAAUCUUGGGCUACCCAGCCUCCAGAACUGUGAGAAAUAAAUGUCUGCUGUUCAAGGCAUCCAGUUUCUGGUAUUUUGCUAUAGUAGCCUGAGCAGACUAAGUUAAUACACACUUCAGUCUGUAUUUCCUAAGAAUGAGAAUAUUGUCUUACUCAACCAAAGUACAGUUAUGAACUUCAUACAUUUACACUGAUAACAUACUUUAAUCUGUCUGCAUUCCAGACAGAUCUGUUUCCUAAUUGACCUAAUAAUUUAGUCUUUUAUGGAAUUUUUUUUUUUCUUUUAGUACAAGAGCCAAUCCAGGAUCGGGAUACACAUACACAUAACAUUUAUUCUUUUUCCUUUAUGGUCUGUGGAUGAACACUUGAAUAUUGUGCCACUGUCCCGCUCCUCAUCAAAAUUUCCUCCUAUAUUUCGCAUUCAUGGCUCACUUUUGCCUGAACCAGUCUUUACUGUGAUGGUUGCAAAAUGGUACUUUCUAACUAUAGCUCUCCCUGCCCCGCAUCACUGGGUUGGCACUCAGAAUUCUGCUGUAAGUGUAACCCUCACUUCUCCUCCUCCCAUUUAUUUCCUCCCUCCCGCCUCUCCUUUCUUUCUCCAUGUUUUAUUGGUAAGAACUCAUGGAUUCCUUAUUUUUUUUUUUCAAUGGUUUGUAAUUCAUCAGUGUUCCGAAUUACUUUGGCAUUCACAUGGUUUCAGAUUUGGCCAGUGGGAGUUCCUUCAAGCUAGCUCUUGUUUCCCCAUGACAUACAUGCUCUUAUCAUUUUUCUUAUCACUCUGUAUCUCCUGGCAUAACAAGAUAUUCCAGUUCAUUCUAGACUUAUCUGUUGCAUUUUAAAUGUUUGAUCAUUAUUCGUUUUAUCCUGAAUAUAUGCAUACACGGUGUUCUGGAUUAGAGACAGCUUUCUUAUUUAAAUACUUCAUAGUAUAUAAUGAAUGCAUUGAUCCAUCUUUGCCCAAGCUCCUACUUCUGGGGCAGUGCAGCGAGAGCCAGAUCAAUUUUCUUGCGUGACUAGCCAGAUACCCCAUCGGCAAAGGACAAAAAAUAAAUGAUCCCCUCAUACCCCACUUAUAAAAGGCAGUAAGUGGUUGCCAUCUACCCUUCCAGAAAGGGGCUUUUUUUUUUUCUUAGAGACAGAGUGAGCAGGGAAGAGGGACAGAGGGAGAGAGAGAGACUCUUACGCAGGUUCCACACCCAAUGCGGAGCCCGACUUGAAGCUCAAUCUCAUGACCCUGAGAUCAUGACCUGAGCUGAAAUCAAGAUUUGGCCACUUAACUGACUGAGCCACCCAGGCGCCCCAUACUUAUGGUUCUUUUGAUGACUUUCUGGGAUGCCUGGUAGAAUUCAGGCCCCUCUGACUUGGUGGCUUUCCAUUUGAGGUGCCCUGGGCAUCUCCUGUCCAGGUCCAGUUUACCAUGGUCAAGACUUCAUUUCUCAUAUCUACUCAAGACGCUGACCACCCUUUGUUUGUCUCCCUAUAGCACUAACCCCCUUUGUGACUCUGGCAAAUUCGCAAAUCAGCUAGAACACACUCUUUCUUCGGUUAUCCCUUAUUAUUUCGAAUGAAGGUUGUCUAGUGCAGUGGGAAAAGAUCAGACAGGCCUUGAUUUGCAUCCAGGCUCCAUCCAUUCCUGGCUGUGUGGUCUUGGGCUAGUUAUGGAACCUUAGAGCUUCCUUUUCAUACUCUGGGGCUGGGAAAUACCGUGAGGGAUAAAUGAGAAGACAUUGACUUUAAUUGCUGUGUGAGUUUAACAAAACGACUAAGUCUAGACUCUAUAGUUAAGAUAUCAGUAUCUACACACACACACACACACACACACACACACACACACACACACACACAGAGUAUAUUAGUUUUCUAGGCCUGCAUAACGAAGUACCAGGUAACAAGCCACCAGGUAGGGUGGCUUAAACUACGGAGAUUUGUUUUUUCACAAUUCUGGAGGCCAGAGCUACAAGAUCAAGGUGCCAUCAAGGUUGGUUUCUGAUGAAGGCUCUCUUCCUGGUCUGUGAAUGGCCACCAUCUCUCUAUGUCUUCAUGUGGUCUUUCCCCUAUGCGCAUGUGGAGAGAAAGAGAUCUUUGGCAUCUUUUUCUUUUCUUGUAAGAAUAUCAAUCUUCUCAGAUUAGGGAUCUAUCCUUGUGACCUCAUUUAACCUUAAUUACUGCCCUGAAGGCCCUAUCUCCAAUAUAGUCCAGUUGGGGGUCAGGGUUUCAACAUACAAAGUUCAGUCCAUAACUGAGGGAAGAAAGAUUUGGGAAGAAUAAAAACCAUUCAGGUAAGAUCUGCAGAAUGCAAUGAUUGGGGUUAUUUUUUUAUUCUUCCAUAUAUAGAUAUAUGUGUAUAUUCUUGUCUUUUCUAACUUUCCGCAGUGACCAUUUCUUACUCUGUGACCGGAGAGAGUAUUUUAAAUAGGUUUCCAUCUCCCUGGUGUAACCUUUUCCUGGCAGGUGUUCCUUGGGGCUCCGUUGCUAUGGCAGUGACUUAUUUUCCUCAUCAUGAGGCUCCUGGGAUCCCUUGAACUCAGGUCAGACUCUGCACAAGGUUAAGUACAGGAGCAUUUGGAAAGACUUUGAUUCUCUCCCAUGUGCCCUCUGCUGCAGCUGAAAACAAGACAGACUGAGAUGCUGUCCAGGCACGACUGGUCAUGCAGGGCCUUACAGGGUGAUAAUGUCCUAUAAAUAAGCUACCUUAGCCCGGAGAGGGGCAGCUGCCCUCCUAAGACCACAGACUGGGUUAGACAUGAAGCAUUGCCCCACUUGCCCAAGCAGUUUUGAGGCUCUUUUGUCUUUGAGGACAUCUUUAAAUCUCACAGCAGAAUUAAUGUGGUAAGUACAGAGCCUGGUCCAUGUAAGGUUGAGGAGUGCUUUGCUAGUUUCUUCCCUCUCCCCGCACGGGUCCUGGCUGUGUUCACUUUCUGUUCCUCCUCUGGAUAAACUAGCACUUAUUGUCCUGCUUUGUCAUUUGCCUCAUCAAGUGGCUUGGGUGAAUGGCCAUUUCCCCACCAUGUGUGGUGAGAACUGAGGGUGGCCCGGCCCCUGUUGGUGUGCUCACUUAUUUAAGGGCCUCGUGGUUUAUGAAUAUAGCCUUGUGGGGGGGAAAAACAGACACUCGGGGAGGAGCCAGCCUCUAGACUCUGGUUCUGGCUCUGCCUCAAGCUCACUUGGUAGCCUUGGACAAGUCUCUUUUCUCUACGGAACUCAGUUUACCCCUCUGAAAAUGACAGAUUUGGAUCUCGUCCCUCAAGGAUCUUCCCGCUGUGACUUGCUACAACUCACACAAGAAGCAACAUUCCCAUUGACAUAUCUAUGUCCCUCAUCAAAUGCUUUCUUUGACAUCUCCUCCCAAGACCCAUGGGUGACCCACCCCUGCCCUCUUUGUGGGAAGCAGUGUAGUAUGUAGGUCAGAAGUGUGGGCUCUGGAGCCAGACAAAAGGGCUCUAGUUCAGACCCCUUGCUUUCUAGCAAGAUGGCUUACUAGCAAGGUGAGUUUCUUAGCAUCUCUGUGUCUAUUUCCUUAUUUAUAAGAUGAGCAUAUUAAUAAUUACCUCCUGGGGUUCUUGCAAAGAUGAACUGAGAUACUGUAUGAAAAGUACCUGGCUUGUAGUAAAUAUCAUUAAAGGGCAUCCGCUGCUA